rnacentral:rRNA from 1 species
UACGUAGGGACCAAGCGUUGUUCGGAUUUACUGGGCGUAAAGGGCGCGUAGGCGGCGAAUCAAGUCAGCUGUGAAAUCUUCGAGCUUAACUCGGAACGGUCAGCUGAUACUGUUUUGCUAGAGUGCAGAAAGGGCAACCGGAAUUCUUGGUGUAGCGGUGAAAUGCGUAGAUAUCUGGAGGAACACCGGUGGCGAAGGCGGCAUCCUGGACCGGUAUUGACGCUGAGGCGCGAAAGCCAGGGGAGCAAACGGG